ACAUCCCUAUAGUUCAGCAAGAAACAAUUGACAUCUGCAGUCAAUGACGCACUCACCUAACCGGUCCUUUUAACCUGUUUUGCCUGGGGGGGGACCCUGAUUUGCAAAGAGACUGCUGUUAUACUGGCACUGGACAUGUUGUCUCAGCUGUUGUAGUCCCAAAGCAGUCUGUGGACCAGCAUGCGCCAGUCUUGGAUAGUUAUCCUUUCCCUCUUCAGUAAGACAAAAAAAACACAAAACGUCCUUAACACAGUUGAUAAGGCGCCAGGUUUCCAGGAUUGCUCUUUUCAUAUGGGUGCCCUGAAACAUUCUGUAAAGCAUCACAUGUUGCAUGAGAAAGAUCAGGUACAGAAUCCAUUAUCUGGAAAGCUGUUAUCCAGAAGGC